AGGGGCAGCAAUAAAUAAAGCUUGCUUUAUUGGUGGCGACCGGCGCACGGGUGAGUAACGCGUAUGCAACCUACCUUAUACUGGAAGAUAGCCCGAAGAAAUUCGGAUUAAUACUCCAUAGUAUUAUUAAUAAGCAUUUAUUAAUAAUUAAAGCUCCGGCGGUAUAAGAUGGGCAUGCGUCCUAUUAGCUAGAUGGUAAGGUAACGGCUUACCAUGGCUACGAUAGGUAGGGGGGCCUGAGUGGGUGGUCCCCCACACUGGUACUGAGACACGGACCAGACUCC
rnacentral:rRNA from 1 species